GACGAACGCUGGCGGCGUGCUUAACACAUGCAAGUCGAACGAAGUGGCGAACGGGUGAGUAACGCGUAAUCAACCUGACCUUCAGAGGGGGACCACAGAUGGAAACGACUGCUAAUAUCGCAUACUGAUGGUGGGGAUUGCGUCUGAUUAGCUAGUUGGAGGGGUAAUGGCCCACCAAGGCGAUGAUCAGUAGCCAGUCUGAGAGGUUGGACGGCCACAUUGGAGCUGGGACACGGCCCAGACUCCUACGGGAGGCAGCAGUGGGGAAUCGUCCGCAAUGGACGAAAGUCUGACGGAGCAACGCCGCGUGAGUGAUGACGGCCUUCGGGUUGUAAAGCUCUGUUAAUCGGGACGCGGUACCGGAAUAGAAAGCCACGGCUAACUACGUGCCAGCAGCCGCGGUAAUUC
rnacentral:rRNA from 1 species